rnacentral:rRNA from 1 species
CACUUCUAAGGAAGGCAGCAGGCGCGCAAAUUACCCAAUCCUGACUCAGGGAGGUAGUGACAAGAAAUAACAAUAAACCGGCUUAUGCCGGUUUAAUUGGAAUGAGUACAAUUUAAACAUCUUAACGAGGAACAAUUGGAGGGCAGGUCUGGUGCCAGCAGCCGCGGUAAUUCCAGCUCCAAUAGCGUAUACUAAAGUUGUUGCAGUUAAAAAGCUCGUAGUUGGAUUUCUGUGGGGACGGAGCGGCCGGCCGCACAUCGCGGUUCGAGCUAGCGCUUUCCCUACAUCCUGCCGCGAACCGUGCUACCAUUAAUUUGGUGGCGCUGGGGAUCGGCUCGAUUACUUUGAGAAAAAUAGAGUGUUCAAAGCAGGCCACAUGCCUUGAAUAAGUUAGCAUGGAAUAAUAACUAAGGACUUCGGUUCUAUUUUGUUGGUGUUCGGGACUGAAGUAAUGAUUGAUAGGGACAGUUGGGGCGGUCUGUAUUCCAAAGCGAGAGGUGAAAUUCUUAGACCUUCGGAAGACAAACAGCUGCGAAAGCGUUCCGCAAGGAUGUUCCCUUUGAUCAAGAACGAAAGUUGGGGGAUCGAAGACGAUCAGAUACCGUCGUAGUCUCAACUAUAAACUAUACCAGCUAGGGAUCGGCCAACGUUAUUUCAAACCGACUUGGUCGGCACCUUAUGAGAAAUCAAAGCAUCUGGGUUCCGGGGGGAGUAUGGUCGCAAGGCUGAAACUUAAAGGAAUUGACGGAAGGGCACCACCAGCCGUGGAGCCUGUGGCUUAAUUUGACUCAACACGGGAAAACUUACCAGGUCCAGACAUAGUAAGGAUUGACAGAUUGAUAGCUCUUUCUUGAUUCUGUGGGUGGUGGUGCAUGGCCGUUCUUAGUUGGUGGAGUGAUUUGUCUGGUUAAUUCCGUUAACGAACGAGACCCCAGCCUGCUAAAUAGCGCGCGUGAGCUUUGCUCGCGGCGAGCUUCUUAGAGGGACUAUGCUGCGCGAUAGCACAUGGAAGUUUGGGGCAAUAACAGGUCUGUGAUGCCCUUAGAUGUUCUGGGCCGCACACGGGCUACACUGGCGCCUGCAACGAGCAUAUCAGCUGGUCCGAGAGGGUCUUGGCUAAUCUUUUGAACCGGCGCCGUGCUUGGGAUUGACCUUUGCAAUUGUUGGUCAUGCAACGAGGAAUGCCUUGUAAACGCGAGUCAUCAGCUCGCAUUGAAUACGUCCCUGCCCUUUGUACACACCGCCCGUCGCUCCUACCGAUGAAUGUUCCGAUGAAAUUUUCGGAGAGCACCUGUGAACUUGGCUCUGCCUUGCGAACGGGAGGCUCAAAGUCACUUAAAUCUGAACAU